rnacentral:rRNA from 1 species
GUGGGGAAUUUUGGACAAUGGGCGCAAGCCUGAUCCAGCAAUGCCGCGUGUGUGAAGAAGGCCUUCGGGUUGUAAAGCACUUUUGGCAGGAAAGAAAUAGUGCGUGCUAAUACCAUGCGCGAAUGACGGUCCCUGCAGAAUAAGCACCGGCUAACUACGUGCCAGCAGCCGCGGUAAGACGUAGGGUGCAAGCGUUAAUCGGAAUUACUGGGCUUAAAGCGUGCGCAGGCGGUUUUGUAAGACAGGUCUGAAAUCCCCGGGCUCAACCUGGGAACUGCACUGGUGACUGCAAGGCUAGAGUGUGUCAGAGGGAGGUGGAAUUCCGCGUGUAGCAGUGGAAUGCGUAGAGAUGCGGAGGAACACCGAUGGCGAAGGCAGCCUCCUGGGAUGACACUGACGCUCAUGCACGAAAGCGUGGGGAGCAAACAGGAUUAGAAACCCUUGUAGUCC